rnacentral:rRNA from 1 species
CUUAGUGGCGGACGGGUGAGUAACGCGUGGGGAACCUGCCCUGUACAGGGGGAUAACACUUAGAAAUAGGGUGCUAAUACCGCAUAAGCGCACAGUAUCGCAUGAUACAGUGUGAAAAACUCCGGUGGUACAGGAUGGACCCGCGUCUGAUUAGCUGGUUGGCGGGGUAACGGCCCACCAAGGCGACGAUCAGUAGCCGGCCUGAGAGGGUGAACCGGCCACAUUGGGACUGAGACACGGCCCAAACUCCUACGGAAGGCAGCAG